rnacentral:rRNA from 1 species
AAUCAACGCUGGCGGCGUGCCUAACACAUGCAAGUCGAACGCGAAAGCCCCGCAAGGGGUCAGUAGAGUGGCAAACGGGUGAGUAACACGUGGGUGACCUGCCUUCGAGUGGGGGAUAACGUCCCGAAAGGGACGCUAAUACCGCAUCAUAUGCUGCCUUUGAAGAGGUGGACAUCAAAGCUGGGGAUCGCAAGACCUAGCGCUUGAAGAGGGGCCCGCGCCUGAUUAGCUAGUUGGUGGGGGUAAUGGCUCACCAAGGCUACGAUCAGUAUCCGGCCUGAGAGGGCGGACGGACACACUGGGACUGAGACACGGCCCAGACUCCUACGGGAGGCAGCAGUGGGGGAAUUGUUCGCAAUGGGCGCAAGCCUGACGACGCAACGCCGCGUGGAGGAUGAAGA